rnacentral:rRNA from 1 species
AGUGAACGCUGGCGGUAGGCCUAACACAUGCAAGUCGAACGGCAGCACAGUAAGAGCUUGCUCUUACGGGUGGCGAGUGGCGGACGGGUGAGGAAUACAUCGGAAUCUACUUUUUCGUGGGGGAUAACGUAGGGAAACUUACGCUAAUACCGCAUACGACCUACGGGUGAAAGCAGGGGAUCUUCGGACCUUGCGCGAUUGAAUGAGCCGAUGUCGGAUUAGCUAGUUGGCGGGGUAAAGGCCCACCAAGGCGACGAUCCGUAGCUGGUCUGAGAGGAUGAUCCGCCACACUGGAACCGAGACACGGUCCCGACCCCUACGGGAGGCAGCAGUGGGGAAUAUUGGACAAUGGGCGCAAGCCUGAUCCAGCCAUACCGCGUUGGUGAAGAAGGCCUUCGGGGUGUAAAGCCCUUUUUUUGGGAAAGAAAAGCAGCAGGUUAAUACCCCGCUGUUCUGACGGUACCCAAAGAAUAAGCACCGGCUAACUUCGUG